rnacentral:lncRNA from 1 species
AAGAAAGCAGAGGGCGUGGGCAGGAGCUGGGGCUGCCUCCUUCCCAAACACUGACGGCUCCUGUUGACACAGACUUGAAAAUUCUGAGCGCUCAUGGACAUAUUAGCAUACUACAAAUAUCUAAAGGGGCUGUGAAAUAUCACUGAGAAGAAUGGUUCUUCUCAGGCCACUGAUUUGUGGAAGAGAGCAGGUCAGCAGUCCUGUAGAAUGUUCCAGAUAAGCUUUCACAUGCCCUUUGGAGAGUCACAUCCUAUUCUGAGAACCCCCAUUGUCUGAGCCAGCCCAUGGGGAGCACAGGCUUCAGGUUCUAAGCUCGGUGGUCUGGGAAGUCCCGGGAAGAGAAGAACUGAGCCACGGUCCCAGGAAGAGAAAAACAGAUAGUGGCCAGGCUCCAUGUGUGCCCGCCCUGCUCUCCUCAUCUCCCAUGGAUCCAUGUUCCUGAUCCUCACAGCUCUAGUCGUAUUCUCCACUUUCUGCAGAUGGGAUUUAAACCCAGGUCUUCUGGGUCCAGCGUUCCUGCUCUUAAUCAUCCAGGCCUAAGGACACGGGUUGAAAGUCAUUCACUGCUGCCUCUGGAGGUUGAGUUGUUUUAAAGUGCUGCGAUCUACUAAGUCUUCAGAAAUUAGUUGAUCCAACCGUAAUCUUCUGAGCACAUGAGCUUUCUUUUCUUGAAGACUCAUUACACUUUCCUUCAGCUUGUUCUCGGCAGGAUGAGUGACUGCCCGUCCUGGAGGCCUCCUCAGAAGCCUCAUACCUGGCUCUCCGAUGGAGCCCACGGUUCUUCUGUACUUCCUCCCUAUGGUUCCUGGGCCUGGAGUGUGGGCUGGACAGGGCAAGGCCUGGAUUGUGUUCAUUAAACAAGAAGAUAAGCUCAUGGUUACCACAGGGAUGUUCUGUUUGUGCCCCUGCUAGGGUUUUGCUUGGCUUUGGAAGCCUUUCAUGUGCCCCGAAUGCUAUAAACCCUUGCAAUAAAUGUGAAGUGUAUAUAGUUUCUGCUACUUAUGGGAGGCAUUGAGGGAGUUAAGCACAGUGGCUUUUGUGUCUGCAGAUUUGAGCUGAAAUUCCAGUUCUGCAGCAUAGGGCUUAACAGGUUCACUCCCCUUCCCCAUCCUCUCAUCCCCCAGGGCUUUACUCUCUCUUCCUUCCACCUGGAUAGAUGCCCUUCUCAUCUUCACACAGCAGAACACUGCUUGUUCUGAGAGCUCGCCCUGCUGAUUCUUCUUCCAUGAGUCAGAAAGCCCACUUCACUUAUAGGAUGAGAACAUGGAUUUAAAAUCAGACAAAUCUGGGUUCAUACCGUCCUUUUGCUAGCUAGACAAUGAUUGGAGUUUGUCAGUUUCCUUGAGAAAAAAAGGGAUAAUGAUAUUCCUACCUUUUAAGGUAAUGGCAGACAUUAGGAAAAUAUAAACAUAAAAUUAUUAGUAGAGAUUUGAUGAGUAGCCAGUGCUCAGUAAUAACUAGGCAAUUCUUGAUUGUGUCUGAAUGAGUUUGUGAGUGCAUAUGAGAGUGUGUGUAUGUGAGUGUUAUGCGUGCUCACACAUGUGUCUGGUAAAGGGCAGAUAUUCAUAUAGCUGCUCAGGUUGGUGGAAAUAAUUUCUUUUUACUUUUAUUCUAUUGUUCCUCCCAGGACUGAGUUUCUGGCCUGUCUCACUUUUGACGUCUAAUAUUGCGUUGGUUAAGAGUGCCUUCUCUCUCCCCCACUCUACAGAUAUUCAGAAGUAACUGUGAAGUAAUUGUGGAUGGGAUCCAUGUCUACUUGGUAUGUUUGUCUCCUGAGCAUCUGUUGCCAGUGUAAUUUCAUGACAAUCAUCAAUAUGUAUUGAAUAAAACAAUGGAUAUGUGAGUGGCUGCAGUAUCCCCAAGUCAUUUUGAACUGUGAUUUUUACAUGCCAGGGCCAUCAUCAGAAAAUAUUUAUGUGUUACUUACCUAAGUCAGCACAAUGCAGGCCAGUGAAUGCUCAAAGAAACUGGAAAUUCAGGUCCUGCCCUCUAGCUCACCUCUUAAGGGGUUGGCCUGCCCAAACUCUGUUAUCACUGGAA